CUCCGGGCGGCUUGCUGGGUAGGGACGCCCGCGUCCCGGCCUUCGCUGCCCGGCUGAGGCGGGCUUGGGCUGCUACGCGGGCAGGAGGAGAGGCGGGCGUACAGGGCGGUGUCAUUUUCAAGCAAAAAUAAAGCCCCGACCAUAAUGCUAUUCCCAGAAGGAAUCCACAUGAAACUCUACUGCAAAUUUUGAUACUGAAGAGCCACUUGUCUGCAGCUUGGUCUGAAAAUGGCAUCCAGGAAGUGGAAAGGACAAUACUGUAAAGUACCCUUGCAGCAGCAAGGUACUUCCCUGGCUACCACUGCACUGAGCAACAAAUUUAAGCUUCCAGCUUCAAGGUCCUAUAUACUUCAGUCCUGAUGACAUUUAUGAAAUGGAGGUUUUCAGAGCAUCAGCCUGAAUCUGAUUUCAACCCCUACAGUUAUUAAAAUAGCAAGGA